UACCGAGGAAACUAGCGUUUUGCCCUCUUACUAACUUUUCCUCAUAAUUGCCCUGAGCCGCGUGCAAAUUGCGAUAACGUGUAAAUGUUACAUCGGCUCGAUGUUUCAAGCAGUGAUUCAGUCGAUAUUUGAGCCCGGUGUGAACAGCGGACUUCUGACAGCGAUCAACGUCAUAUUCGUGUGUCUUGUGAUUGUGCUUGUAUUUCUUUUGAUAAGUUUUGGUUUCAAUAUCCAUGUGCUGAUGCUGCUCAUCCUUAGUACCGGCCUUCUUCUAUCUAUAAACUGGUUUGUUAGUGAGUUGUGGAGAACAUCCAAAGAGCAGGAAAAAGAGGAAAAGAAGGAUUAAAACAGAACUUUUGAAAACCAAAUAGUCCCCUCUUGAAGUGAUUCAAGUGUGUUACACCUUUGGGAUUUGGUAGAGAGAACACCCUGGAAGGAGCUGAAUUUCAUCUGAUGUGGAAACCUCUUUCAGUGUAAACAGCUUGAAAUUGUCCUGUAUUGUUGUCCUGAGACACAAGAAGCUGGCUGAGGAUUACUGUGUAGAUGAAUGACCCAUGAUUGACACAUCUGGCCGGAGAUCAAAAUGUAUUGAUUGCAUGUGGACUAUGUCUUAUUAAGAUUUAGAUUUAUUGAAUUUGUUGCAUGGGGACAUAAAUAAUAAGAUAUUUAAAUCGAUAAAAUUAUUAAAUAGAAUCAUAUGUAUCAAACAGCAACUGAAUUGACAUCCAGCCCCAGUAAAAGUACAUAUUACCCUAAACAAUGAGAAAUUAAGUUGAUAUUAAGUUACUAAAUAGGGGAGUAUUUUAAGAUGAAAUGUAUGGCCCUACUAAUUCACAGUCACACUUACACUUUUAACUUACAUCCCACUGUUUCUGAAGAUUAUAAGAAAGAGUUGUUAACCUUUAUAGGGCUAAAAGCCUGUGUUAAAUAGUGUCUGUGCUGUCACCGUGUAUUUUCCAGAGGUUUGCUCCACAUAGUUGUUAAGUAUGAAAUACUCUGUUGGUUUGUGUAAAGAGGUCUCUGAAAUUUGUAAAACCAGCCCAGUCAUAUGUGCCAUUAUCUUACACCUGGCUUCAUUGAAGGCUCUUUUAGGUAUACCCAUAAGCUUUGAUCCAUGAGGAGAUCUCACAUCCCAUCUCCCUUUCCCCCUCCAAAUUCCCUUCUGGCUCUCAGUGCUUCCAAAUACUUUAAAAGUCCCCUAAAAUGACAUCUUUCAAGGCUACUGUCAUGUAAAAAAGAAUUUUUAGAAAGUAAGCCCUUUUCAGGAAAGUUUAUAACUUUUACCUCACUUGGUUCACCUGAACACCUGAGACUGUUUCAUUUCCAUGGCUCACUUUUUCAUCAUUCAGCAUUGCUACAUGAUGCAGGCCUUAAUCACACAUAUUUUAUUUCAAAUAUAUUUUUUUAAUGGUACAGAAAUUAGUCCCCCCUCCUCUCUCUCUCUCUUUCUCUUUCUAUCUCUGACUUAAAAACAAACAAGCAAACAAACAAACAAACUACUCUUAAAAAUCCUUUGUACCCAGAGGAGAAAAUGUGGAAGUUUAAAAGGAAACAUUUCCAAAACACUCUGCUGAUUAAACCUUUAUUAAACCCAAUUACAAUCUAAAUAUUGCUGAUACAAUUUUGUACGUGAAGCAUUUUUAAAUGGCACUUCUUUUAAGGAUGCUACAUUUAUCAGUAUGGUUACUAUGGUUACUGUUAAUAUUAUCUUUAAAUUUGUAAUAUGUUUAAAUAUCUGCAACAGAAAUGCAUGGUAAGUAAUCUAAAAAAUUUUGAUACAUUGUAAGUUAUAUACAUAAUGCUUAACCAUUUAACUCCUGGAUCUGAUCGUUGAUUUUCCCUUCUACCUGCUAAGCAUUUUCUUGUAAAUUAGUCACAAAGAUUUGAUAAUAGAUCAAGAUAACAAUUUCUACCUGGUACGUUCGAGCAUUGUUAUAACCUAGUGUUGGCUGAAUACAGUAUGGAUGUUACAAGGAGAAGUUACAUGUUAAUCACUGGAAGUUACAGAGUUAAAUCUUUCUAUUUUUCCUUUCUAAAACAAAAGGUUUGCAGGGAAAGUUGUCAAGGAAACUAAAACGUUUUCAACCCUAAUGCAUGAAAAUGCAGAAAAUAUUUAUUUUUUGCCUUAAAUUUUUGUUCUUUAACCCUUUAACUCCCAUGAGUGAUCAAGAAAGAAUUUCUCCUUACAAUAUCACCACAGAAUCAAGCAGACAAGUGAGGAGAAUAAAGAAAAAACUCAAUUAAGGAACUACAAGUUGAUCCAAUACCAAAUUCUCCAAAUUGAAAUGGUAAGUAUUUUAUGGCAGGAAAAAGGGAGAAUUACUAAUGAAAUCUUGGGAGUUAAAAGGUUAAGGGAAACACAUUUUCCUUCUAUUUGUGAGUUGUGUGUGAAACACAAGUGUCCCAGGUCCAUAACAGGACCAUUUGGGAACAUAAAGCAAUAUAUGGCUGGUUCAGUUAUUUAAUAUGUCAUUUUAUACAUGUGUAUGUUCACAAUAAAUAAUUCUGCAGGAACUCGCAUGAACUUCACAA